UCUAGGUUGUGCGGAAUGUGGUGUUAAGAAGGGUCUUCCAGAGCAUUUAGACACCAGUCAAAGUCCAACUUGACAGUGGCCACAGCCCAUAGAGGGUGAUAGGCCCGUAAGGCGGUUGUCUGGCUCUGCUGACCUCUUCUCCGAGUCAGGUAGCUUGUGAGUGCUGCCCAAAGAGCGAGGUAAACUCCUNGUAAGGCUAAAUACAACCCCAAUACCGAUAGCAAACAAGUACAGUGAUGGAAAUUUGAAAAGAACUUUGAAGAGAGAGUUAAUAGUACGUGAAACUGUAUGGUAGUAAACGCAGCCUCCCUCGAAGUGCAGCAUUGUGGACCCAACCUAAGCGUGUAGUUGCAUGGCUGUCUGUCCGGAGCCGUUAAAAGCCUGGUAGAUGCCGUUGUUUCAGCUGUGCGCGCGGGUGCAUUUCUACAUGCUUGACUGUAGGAACUGUUGGACUUGGACNGAAGGCCCGGGGUGGAGACCGAACUGGCUGUAGUGGCCGGCACGGACCCGCCGGUGUCCUGGCUCCUCGUUCNACAGGCAAUUAGGCCGGCGCUUAUAGAGCGCAAUUGUUGCUAUUGCAACUGGUCGUUCCCUACAGAGUAGGUCGGCGAAGGCUGCGACCCGUCUUGAAACACGGACCAAGGAGUCUAACAUGUAUGCAAGUCAAUGGGUUGUCUAAACCCAGAGGCGCAGUGAAAGCAAAGGGCUGCUUGCAGCCUUAGGGGAGAUCCUUCGGGCGCAUCCCCGCCAUUUCCAAUUGGCUUUGUCCUUUGGGAAUAGGAAGAGCAUACAUGUUGGGACCCGAAAGAUGGUGAACUAUGCCUGACCAGGUUGAAGUCAGGAGAAAUCCUGAUGGAAGACCGUAGCG
rnacentral:rRNA from 1 species